rnacentral:rRNA from 1 species
GAUGAACGCUGGCGGCGUGCCUAAUACAUGCAAGUCGAGCGAACGGACGAGAAGCUUGCUUCUCUGAUGUUAGCGGCGGACGGGUGAGUAACACGUGGAUAACCUACCUAUAAGACUGGGAUAACUUCGGGAAACCGGAGCUAAUACCGGAUAAUAUUUUGAACCGCAUGGUUCAAAAGUGAAAGACGGUCUUGCUGUCACUUAUAGAUGGAUCCGCGCUGCAUUAGCUAGUUGGUAAGGUAACGGCUUACCAAGGCAACGAUGCAUAGCCGACCUGAGAGGGUGAUCGGCCACACUGGAACUGAGACACGGUCCAGACUCCUACGGGAGGCAGCAGUAGGGAAUCUUCCGCAAUGGGCGCAAGCCUGACGGAGCCACGCCGCGUGGGUGAAGAAGGUCUUCGGAUCGUAAAACUCUUUUAUUAGGGAAGAACAUAUGUGUAAGUAACUGUGCACAUCUUGACGGUACCUAAUCAGAAAGCCCCGGCUAACUUCGUG